GACCCUACGGGACGCAGCAGUGGGGAAUAUUGCACAAUGGGGGAAACCCUGAUGCAGCGACGCCGCGUGAGUGAAGAAGUAUUUCGGUAUGUAAAGCUCUAUCAGCAGGAACGAGACAAGACGGUACCUGACUAAGAAGCCCCGGCUAACUACGUGCCAGCAGCCGCGGUAGUACGUAGGGGGCAAGCGUUAUCCGGAUUUACUGGGUGUAAAGGGAGCGCAGGCGGCUUUGCAAGUCUGAUGUGAAAGGCCAGGGCUCAACCCUGGGACUGCAUUGGAAACUGUAAAGCUAGAGUGCCGGAGAG
rnacentral:rRNA from 1 species